UCUGUCUCUUUUUUCCAGACACCAGUAGA
rnacentral:piRNA from 1 species